UACGAGGGGGGCAAAUGUUGUUCGGAAUCACUGGGCGUAAAGGGAGCGUAGGCGGGUUUCUAAGUCAGGUGUUUAAUCCCGGGGCCCAACCCCGGACAGGCACUUGAAACUGGGAAUCUUGAAUAGUGGAGAGGUCAGUGGAAUUGGGGGUGUAGCGGUGGAAUGCGUAGAGAUCCCCAAGAACACCAGUGGCGAAGGCGGACCCGCUGGGCAGUGGCUGACGCUGAAGCGCGACAGCGUGGGGAGCAAACAGG
rnacentral:rRNA from 1 species